GCUCUGGCUAGGCGUGUGGGCUGUGGAGUGGGGCUGGGGAUGAGGGGUUUGGGGUGCAGACUGCAGUGGGGAGAGGACUCUCCCCAGCCCUCUCUCACCGCAGCAGCUCGGGGAUGGGUGAGAGGCACCUCUCCCCAGCCGUGGCAGCUCCUGUGGUCCUGAGCUGGGCUGAGGGAGGGGUUCCUCUCCCCAGCAGCUCUGGUGGACCUGGGCCAAACCUGGGGAGGGGCUCCUCACCCUGCCUGCCUCCACGGCCCUCGAUAGCUUGCAGUGCAGCUGCAUAGUCUGCACGGAACACCGUUUUUGACCCCCCGAUCUCCCGUUAGCAGAGUGCUUGCUAGUCCCUGAGUUCCCCCUUUGGGGCCAAAUUUUUUCAUUCCCAGAUAAUCUCACAUUACACCAGGCUGUGCCACUGCAGCUGUCUAGUUGUUAAUGUUUAUCUAACCCUUUGUUGUGAGAUUUUUGUGUGUGGUUUGAACAGUGACAGUGAUCAGUAUCUCUCAGCAUGAACACUGAUGGUGAGAGCUAGAUUCAGAAUGCGACAGGCAGAGACUGAAACGGAAGUUACUGCCGAGGGAACUCCGAGAAACACAGGUGCAACAGCUAAUCUUAAGAAAGCCGUUAACCGCAAAAGAACUUGUUAAAACUGGACAACUUGUUUUUGCUGUGUUCCUAAUAAGGAAAUAUGAAUGAGGAAGUGUGCUUAUCUGAAUAUUGUUACAAAUCUCUAUGAGUUUUUAUUUUUUUCAUCUUUGCAGAGCAGCUCAGUGCAGCUGUCUCUCCCUGCAUGCUUGUAUUACAAUAAAGGAGCCUUAGGCUGUCUGAUCCAAACACAAGUGGUGGUUAAUUUCCAUGACACUGCCUGAUCCCUGCAGAGAUGCUGUUGGGACGGGGAGAAGUUGGGGGAACAGAGCUGGGAAACGGCUGGGUUUGCUCCUCCGAGCCUGACAGUUGAGGCUGAGAACUGAACUCGCUGUAUCGGUACCAGAGAGGGACUCGACUUGGACUGUCUGAUGAGAGAUCCUUGGAAAACUCACAAUCUGCCGUGGAAAUGCGUGUAACACCAGUGCAUGUAGAAUGUGAAGCAUUUGGCCAUCGUAUUGUGAUGGGACUAUUCAAAUUGAGAGGUCCAUCAAGAAGUACAUGACUGACAAUGGGCCUUGGGAGAUGCCAAUCCACAUCUGAUGAGCCUGCCUGGGAACAUUCAAACUAGCAUGUGGGCCGUGGCUUCUACCUGUAAAGAACUGAGUCAUGCAUGGAUGGGUGAUUUGCUCAUGUGACUGGACACCAUCUUGUUACUGUUCUUUUCCACAGUAAGAACAGUGGGAUUCCCUCCACAUGACGCAAGAUAUAAAAGGCCCUGGAAAUGUCUCCAUCUAUCUUCUUUCCUGCUCCAGCUUCUCUGCUCCUCAAACCUCUGGACUAUGCACUUAUACGAAUGGGAGCGUUCCAACCAGGGAACGGAGGUCCUUCUAAUGAUUUGGAAGUAACCAGAAACUUGACUUAAGCCAGCAGUUUAUUCCAUCGCUGCUAUAAGCCUGAAGCAAGAGCUUUGUGAUUAUUGUAUGUAUUUGAUUCCUUGGACCAAUUUUAACUCUCACCUUUCUUUUUAUUAAUAAACCUUUAAAUGUUAGAUACU